GCACAGUAUAAGAGAGUGAGUCCCUUGGUCUGAGCUUCACUCUGAGCCUCCCAGGGCCAUCCAGCCUUUGGACCUGCAGGGUUCCUGCUCUCCGGAUACCCAUCCCUCUCCUGAGGUGGCUCAGGGGAGUCUCCAGAGAUGACCCCAAUCACCUUGGAACAAGGGAGCCAGGGCAGGCAUUUCUCUUGGUUGGUGUUGAGAGUCUUGUGGAAUUUUCUUCCUGUCCCCCAGAUGAAGAUGACAUUUUUGCUGAUCACCGUGACUUACCUUUGCGCUCACACAUUGAUGGACAUCCCUCAGCGAGAUCACAGCUGUGACAACAUCAUUGUUACCACUCGGCCACCCCCAAGGUUUCCUUGUGACUGAUUGGAACCAUAAGGAAUAGAGCCUGCAGCAGAGCUGCCACUGCAGUCCAGCUGGAUAGCAUCACCCCAC